UACGGAGGAUGCGAGCGUUAUCCGGAUUUAUUGGGUUUAAAGGGUGCGCAGGCGGUCUGUUAAGUCAGCGGUCAAAGCCCGGGGCUCAACCCCGGCCCGCCGUUGAAACUGGCAGUCUCGAGUUGGAGAGAAGUAUGCGGAAUGCGUGGUGUAGCGGUGAAAUGCAUAGAUAUCACGCAGAACCCCGAUUGCGAAGGCAGCAUACCGGUGCACAACUGACGCUGAUGCGCGAAAGCGUGGGGAGCAAACAGG
rnacentral:rRNA from 1 species